rnacentral:rRNA from 1 species
CCUACGGGGGGCAGCAGUAGGGAAUCUUGCUCAAUGGGGGAAACCCUGAUGCAGCAACGCCGCGUGGAGGAUGAAGGUUUUCGGAUUGUAAACUCCUUUUGUUAGAGAAGAAAAUGACGGUAUCUAACGAAUAAGCACCGGCUAACUCCGUGCCAGCAGCCGCGGUAAUACGUAGGGGGCAAGCGUUACUCGGAUUGACUGGGCGUAAAGAGCGCGUAGGCGGGAUAGCAAGUCAGAUGUGAAAUCCUAUGGCUUAACCAUAGAACUGCAUUGGAAACUGUUCAUCUAGAGUACGGGAGAGGUAGGUGGAAUUCUUGGUGUAGGGGUAAAAUGCGUAGAGAUCAAGAGGAACACUCGUUGCGAAGGCGACCUGCUGGAACGUAACUGACGCUGAGGCGCGAAAGCGUGGGGAGCAAACAGGAUUAGAUACCCGAGUAGUC